rnacentral:sRNA from 1 species
CACCAGUCUAGGCCAUGCAAGCCGAAAGGCGGACUCGUUCCCCGCUUGACUGGUAACCCUUCUGGAACG